rnacentral:rRNA from 1 species
AGGGAAUCUUCCACAAUGGACGCAAGUCUGAUGGAGCAACGCCGCGUGAGUGAAGAAGGUUUUCGGACCGUAAAGCUCUGUUGUUGGUGAAGAAGGAUAGAGGUAGUAACUGGCCUUUAUUUGACGGUAAUCAACCAGAAAGUCACGGCUAACUACGUGCCAGCAGCCGCGGUAAUCGUAGGUGGCAAGCGUUGUCCGGAUUUAUUGGGCGUAAAGCGAGCGCAGGCGGAAGAAUAAGUCUGAUGUGAAAGCCCUCGGCUUAACCGAGGAAUUGCAUCGGAAACUGUUUUCUUGAGUGCAGAAGAGGAGAGUAGAACUCCAUGUGUAGCGGUGGAAUGCGUAGAUAUAUGGAAGAAUACCAGUGGCGAAGGCGGCUCUCUGGUCUGCAACUGACGCUGAGGCUCGAAAGCAUGGGUAGCGAACAGGAUUAGAUACCCUUG